UUGUACCCAAAGUAAAGACAGUGCAGUAUGGAAACAGGUCCUUUGUCCACGUAGGAUCAAUGGCCUGGAACAGUCUCCCACAGAGUAUCAGAGACUGUUCUGACUUUCAUACUUUUAAAUCCAAUCUAGAAACACACAUGUUCAAGAUAGCCUUUGAACUGUAGCUCUUUGCCUUACUUGCAUUUUUAUUUGUGCGCUUUGAUCAUGCAUAAGCAUGGAUACAAAUGCGCGUUACAAAUAUGCUAUUAUUAUUAUUAUUAUUCCAAUUUUAUUAUAAAUAUUUGAAA